AGAGCGAACGCUGGCGGCAUGCUUAACACAUGCAAGCCGCACGAGGGGGCAACCUCUAGUGGCGGACGGGUGAGUAACGCGUAGGUAUCUAUCCUGGGGUGGGGGAUAACGGCUGGAAACGGCUGCUAAUACCGCAUGACACCUGAGGGUCAAAGGCGCGAGUCGCCUUGGGAGGAGCCUGCGUCCGAUUAGCUUGUUGGUGGGGUAAAGGCCUACCAAGGCGACGAUCGGUAGCUGGUCUGAGAGGAUGAUCAGCCACACUGGGACUGAGACACGGCCCAGACUCCUACGGGAGGCAGCAGUGGGGAAUAUUGGACAAUGGGGGAAACCCUGAUCCAGCAAUGCCGCGUGAGUGAAGAAGGUCUUCGGAUUGUAAAGCUCUUUCGGCGGGGACGAUGAUGACGGUACCCGCAGAAGAAGCCCCGGCUAACUUCGUGCCAGCAGCCGC
rnacentral:rRNA from 1 species